UACGGAAGGGGGCUAGCGUUGUUCGGAUUUACUGGGCGUAAAGCGCACGUAGGCGGAUUGUUAAGUCGGGGGUGAAAUCCUGGAGCUCAACUUCAGAAUUGCCUUCGAUACUGGCUUUCUAGAGGCUGGAAGAGGUUAGUGGAAUUCCCAGUGUAGAGGUGAAAUUCGUAGAUAUUGGGAAGAACACCAGUGGCGAAGGCGGCUAACUGGUCCAGAUCUGACGCUGAGGUGCGAAAGCGUGGGGAGCAAACAGGG
rnacentral:rRNA from 1 species